rnacentral:rRNA from 1 species
AUUGAACGCUGGCGGCAGGCCUAACACAUGCAAGUCGAGCGGAUGAACGGAGCUUGCUCCUGGAUUCAGCGGCGGACGGGUGAGUAAUGCCUAGGAAUCUGCCUGGUAGUUGGGGAUAACGUCCGGUAACGGGCGCUAAUACCGCAUACGUCCUGAGGGAGAACGUGGGGGAUCUUCGGACCUCACGCUAUUAGAUGAGCCUAGGUCGUAUUAGCUAGUUGGUUGGGUAAAGGCCUACCAAGGCGACGAUCCGAACCUGGUCUGAGAGGUGGAUCAGUCACACUGAAACUGAGAAACGGUCAGGCCCCCUAGGGAAGGCGGCGGAGGGAAUUUUUGGCAAUGGGGCGAAAGCCGGAUCCAGCCAGGCCGCGGGUGUGAAGAAGGUCUUCGGUUUGUAAAGCACUUUAAGUGGGAAGAAAGGGUAGUAAGUUAAUACCUCGCUGUUUUGACGUAACCAACAGAAUAAGCACCGGCUACUUUCGU